AUGGUUUUCCGUCUUCUUGCUCGUUUACUUCGUUUGUUUGUUUUUUUGGUUUUUAUCUGUUUCUACUCGAGACUUUCCAUGGCGGGGUGUCCCUCCCAGGCGAGGAGGUCGUGGUCAGCUGCCACCACCUGUACCCAGGAGGAGCAGAGCCCGGGUCUGGGCCUCCUCUGCCCUCCAGCCCGCCCUGGCUCGGUGCAUCCACCGCCUCGACGUGCGAGCAAAGCCAGCGGCAGUGUGUGCACCCCGCCUUCCACGGAGCCCCCGCCUCAGCCCCCCUUGAGCGGGCCCCAGAGGGAGCCAGGCUUUGGGACACGUAGGGAGCGAGCAUGUGGUGGGGGCCGAGCGCUGGCCCCCCGUUCUCUAGACGAGGAUGAGGCCACAAGGCCUGCAGAGGCCGCGAGGGCCUGGGGCUCCGGAGCCCAGGCUGCCCAAGCCUCGCACAGACCUUGCCGGGCGACGGGAGAGAGUCACAGAGAGGACACCUGUACGGGCCUCUUGGAGCGGAGGACUUUGCCCCCGUGGAAGGAGCCGUCUCUUCCUCCUGUUUAUUGUCCAGACAUGUCAGGUGGAGCAAGUGACUUUGCAGUUCCUUGUCCCCCAGUGUUCUGGGUUGGGCUUUCCGGCGAGGCCAGCUUCCCAGCAUCGCCCCUGGGCUGCUUCCACGGGGGGCCAGCGUGGGCGCCCCUGGGCGGGCCUCACGGGGGCUCACAGCAGCUCACUGGGGAGCUCAGAGGGCCUGCCCGCCGGGCCGGAGAGCUGCCCCCCAGCCACCGUCGGGGGGAUGACUCCAGUGCUGCCUUCGCAUCCCAGGCCUCACCGAAGUUCCCGCAUCCGUUCUGUUCCAGGCCCCCCAGUGCAAAAGCUUCGUCUGCCAGCGUCUGCGUGGACCAGCCGGGGCAGGAUGGGGCGGAGGCCCGAAGCACCAGGGCAGUGCUGCGGGGGAGGCGGGACGGCCUCGGUGCACCUGCGGGACACGGCCCCCCGCUCUGGGGCGCCCCCCUCCCCCCGGGUCCGUGUGAGGGGCUCCUGAGGGCCAGCACCGGGCAGCAGCCAGGUCUCCCGGGACCUGACCCCGGCCUCGGCUGA
rnacentral:lncRNA from 1 species